rnacentral:tRNA from 1 species
GUCUUUGAAGUAGAAUUAUGUAAGAUUUUCGAUCUUAAGAUGCUGUAGCCUAAGAUA